AAGAUGGCGACCGGCGCACGGGUGAGUAACACGUAUCCAACCUGCCGAUAACUCGGGGAUAGCCUUUCGAAAGAAAGAUUAAUACCCGAUGGCAUAGUUCUUCCGCAUGGUAGAACUAUUAAAGAAUUUCGGUCAUCGAUGGGGAUGCGUUCCAUUAGGUUGUUGGCGGGGUAACGGCCCACCAAGCCUUCGAUGGAUAGGGGUUCUGAGAGGAAGGUCCCCCACACUGGAACUGAGACACGGUCCAA
rnacentral:rRNA from 1 species